GAUGAACGCUAGCGGCAGGCUUAAUACAUGCAAGUCGAGGGGCAGCGCAGUGUAGCAAUACAUGGGCGGCGACCGGCAAACGGGUGCGGAACACGUACAGAACCUUCCUUCGAGCGGGGGAUAGCCCAGAGAAAUUUGGAUUAAUACCCCAUAGUAUAGCGGAGUGGCAUCACUUUGUUAUUAAAGAUUUAUCACUUGAAGAUGGCUGUGCGUCUGAUUAGGUAGUUGGCGGGGUAACGGCCCACCAAGCCUACGAUCAGUAACUGGUGUGAGAGCACGACCAGUCACACGGGCACUGAGACACGGGCCCGACUCCUACGGGAGGCAGCAGUGAGGAAUAUUGGUCAAUGGACGCAAGUCUGAACCAGCCAUGCCGCGUGAAGGAUGAAGGCCUUCUGGGUUGUAAACUUCUUUUAUUAGGGAAGAAACCUCCGAUUUCUAUUGGAGCCGACGGUACCUAAGGAAUAAGCACCGGCUAACUCCGUGCCAGCCGCCGCCGUAAGAC
rnacentral:rRNA from 1 species